AAAAAGGCGAUAAUUGAGAAUAGUAAUUUUAAAAAGUUUUUAAGAGAGCAGGUGGCUGGUGAGAACCUGUAAAAUUUUUAAGACGAAUCCACCUCAUAGUCUAUGAAAUUUUAAGUGAACCAUUUGGUUAAUUAGGGUGGCAACGCGGGUCUCUCGUCCCUUUA
rnacentral:ncRNA from 1 species